GAUGAACGCUGGCGGCGUGCCUAAUACAUGCAAGUCGAGCGAACAGACGAGGAGCUUGCUCCUCUGACGUUAGCGGCGGACGGGUGAGUAACACAUGGAUAACCUACCUAUAAGACUGGGAUAACUUCGGGAAACCGGAGCUAAUACCGGAUAAUAUAUUGAACCGCAUGGUUCAAUAGUGAAAGACGGUUUUGCUGUCACUUAUAGAUGGAUCCGCGCCGCAUUAGCUAGUUGGUAAGGUAACGGCUUACCAAGGCAACGAUGCGUAGCCGACCUGAGAGGGUGAUCGGCCACACUGGAACUGAGACACGGUCCAGACUCCUACGGGAGGCAGCAGUAGGGAAUCUUCCGCAAUGGGCGAAAGCUUGACGGAGCAACGCCGCGUGAGUGAUGAAGGUCUUCGGAUCGUAAAACUCUGUUAUUAGGGAAGAACAAAUGUGUAAGUAACUAUGCACGUCUUGACGGUACCUAAUCAGAAAGCCACGGCUAACUACGUG
rnacentral:rRNA from 1 species